rnacentral:rRNA from 1 species
AUACGGAGGGUGCAAGCGUUAUCCGGAUUUAUUGGGUUUAAAGGGUGCGUAGGCGGUUUGAUAAGUCAGCGGUGAAAUAUUUCAGCUUAACUGGAAGGGUGCCGUUGAUACUGUCGAGCUUGAAUUUAGUUGCUGUGGGUGGAAUGCGUGGUGUAGCGGUGAAAUGCAUAGAUAUCACGCAGAACUCCGAUUGCGAAGGCAGCUUACUAAGCUACAACUGACACUGAAGCACGAAAGCGUGGGGAUC